CACAUUUACACACUGCCCACCCACACACUGAACCUUUCACACACAUUGCACCACUGCUCCUAUACCCUACUACAGCCCCAUAUCCCAGCAGACUCCAGGUAAGUUGUCAAACUGUUCUUAAACGGUUUGACGACUUACUCUGGGAGGGGGUGCCGACGCUCCUGGAGGAGUAGACAGAGGAGUACACAGAGGAGUAGUGGUUAUUGUGCAUGGAAUAUUUCUUUAAAUAAUCUACAAGUGCCCCUCUCAGGCUCAAGCUCUGGAUCCGCCAUUAGUAUAUGACAUGUAUAUUAAUGUGUGUAUUAGUUUUAUAUCUCUAUUAUAUUUACACAUAUUAAUGUACAUUUAUAAAUGCAUAAUACACAG